rnacentral:misc_RNA from 1 species
UUAAGUUCAGCGGGUAUCCCUACCUGAUCCGAGGUCAACCUUAGAAAGAUUUUUUCCCCACCCGCCCCGGAGGGAAGGGGAGAAAGGAGACCGUGUCCCGAGAACCCUCGAUCCGAUACGUGCUCUGUUAAGAAGCUCAGUGUACCGGGGGUCCUGCGAGGCCGCCGUCAUUGUCUUUAGGAGGGGUCAGUCGCCUAACC